rnacentral:rRNA from 1 species
UACGGAAGGCAGCAGUGGGGAAUAUUGCACAAUGGGCGCAAGCCUGAUGCAGCCAUGCCGCGUGUAUGAAGAAGGCCUUCGGGUUGUAAAGUACUUUCAGUCGUGAGGAAGGUGUUAAGGUUAAUAACCUUAGCAAUUGACGUUAGCGACAGAAGAAGCACCGGCUAACUCCGUGCCAGCAGCCGCGGUAAUACGGAGGGUGCGAGCGUUAAUCAGAAUUACUGGGCGUAAAGGGCACGCAGGCGGUUAAUUAAGUUGGAUGUGAAAUCCCCGGGCUUAACCUGGGAAUGGCAUUCAAGACUGGUUAGCUAGAGUCUUGUAGAGGGGGUUAGAAUUCCAUGUGUAGCGGUGAAAUGCGUAGAGAUGUGGAGGAAUACCGGUGGCGAAGGCGGCCCCUGGGACAAAGACUGACGCUCAUGUGCGAAAGCGUGGGGAGCAAACAGGAUUAGAUACC